CGGGAUGUGGCGCAGCCUGGUAGCGUACUCGUCUGGGGGGCGAGGGGUCGCAAGUUCAAAUCUUGUCAUCCCGACCA
rnacentral:tRNA from 2 species